rnacentral:rRNA from 1 species
UACGUAGGGUGCGAGCGUUGUCCGGAAGUUACUGGGACGUAAAGAGCUCGUAGGUGGUUUGGAUCGCGUUGUUCGGUGAAAAACCUCACAGCUUAACUGUGGGGCGGUGCGGGCGAUGACGGGCAGACUUGAGUACUGCAGGGGACGGAUGGAAUUCCUGGUGUAGCGGUGGAAUGCGCAGAUAUCAGGAGGAACACCGGUGGGCGAAGGCGGGGUCUCUGGGCAGUAACUGACGCUGAGGAGCGAAAGGCGUGGGGGAGCGAACAGG